CAGUCGCCGCGGUAAUACGUAGGUGGCAAGCGUUGUCCGGAAUUAUUGAGCGUAAAGGGCUCGCAGGCGGUUUCUUAAGUCUGAUGUGAAAGCCCCCGGCUCAACCGGGGAGGGUCAUUGGAAACUGGGAAACUUGAGUGCAGAAGAGGAGAGUGGUAUUCCACGUGUAGCGGUGAAAUGCGUAGAGAUGUGGAGGAACACCAGUGGCGAAGGCGACUCUCUGGUCUGUAACUGACGCUGAGGAGCGAAAGCGUGGGGAGCGAACAGGAUUAGAUACCCCCGUAGUCCCUGUCUCUUAUAC
rnacentral:rRNA from 1 species